rnacentral:rRNA from 1 species
UACGGAGGAUCCUAGCGUUAUCCGGAUUUAUUGGGUUUAAAGGGUGCGUAGGCGGAAUAAUAAGUCAGUGGUGAAAUCUUCCGGCUCAACUGGGAAACUGCCAUUGAUACUGUUGUUCUUGAGUAUAUUUGAGGUGGGUGGAAUGUGUCAUGUAGCGGUGAAAUGCUUAGAUAUGACACAGAACGCCAAUUGCGUAGGCAGCUCACUAAACUAUAACUGACGCUGAGGCACGAAAGCGUGGGGAUCAAACAGGAUUAGAUACCCUGGUAGUCCACGCUGUAAACGAUGAUUACUGGAUGUUAGCGAUACACCGUUAGCGUCUAAGCGAAAGCAUUAAGUAAUCCACCUGGGGAGUACGGCCGCAAGGCUGAA